UACGAAGGGUGCUAGCGUUGUUCGGAAUCACUGGGCGUAAAGCGUACGCAGGCGGGUUUUUAAGUCAGAUGUGAAAUCCCAAGGCUCAACCUUGGAACUGCAUUUGAAACUGGAAGCCUAGAGUAUGGGAGAGGAUAGCGGAAUUCCUAGUGUAGAGGUGAAAUUCGUAGAUAUUAGGAGGAACACCAGUGGCGAAGGCGGCUAUCUGGACCAUUACUGACGCUCAUGUACGAAAGCGUGGGGAGCAAACAGG
rnacentral:rRNA from 1 species